GUUGUCACACAAAUUAUUUCCAAUCUAUUUGAAAAUGAAAAAAAAACUAAAAAAUGGUUACAGUGGAUAAGUAAACUUAUAAAGUUGCAAAAAUCAUCAAGUGAUCGACAAAGAAAUUUGAUAAAGUGUUGGAAAUCGUUAGAUUGGUUCAAUCGAUCAUCCUGAUUGCAAGUCAUUGUUGAUUGGAAACGUCCGUGAGCAGAAGCUGGAAAAUUAUCACCAUAUCUGUUUUAUCGAACUACUUUUCCUCAAAAAUUCCAUCUAGGAGAGACCUAAAUAGUAUCAAGGACAAUCAUUGUCUUUUCCAUGGAAUUGGAAAAGUGAUUCGCAGAUAGCAGCAGAACUCAGAGCAAACAGUAAAGGCCGUAAAUCUGCAAAACACAACUUAGAAAAGUGAGCGCUGUAAUAAAAGUAGACGAGGAGCACUACCACUGAUCAAAUUUCAUUAUGUCAUCGUUUAUCUUUACGGGGCAAAAGACAAUCAGUCUUUUGAAGUAUCUUAUUUCUUCUGAAACUGGUAAACACAAUUGGGAGAAAGAAGAAGAGCAUACAUCCAAAAGCUGAGAAGAAGACUUCACGAAACUACUAGAAAGUCGUGCAACACCCCAUAGAAAUUAAUGUAAUACAAUUUUAUUGUGAAUACACAUUAUUUAUGUCAAAUAAAUUUAUUUUUGAAAUCAUAGCAAGAGUUUUUUAAAUAUACCCUGGUACUGUUAUAUCUACCCGAGAAUAUUAUUUGAUUUAAUGUGGAGGAAUAUCAAAG